rnacentral:rRNA from 1 species
UACGUAGGGGGCAAGCGUUGUCCGGAAUCAUUGGGCGUAAAGAGCGUGUAGGCGGCCCGAUAAGUCCGCUGUGAAAGUCCAGGGCUCAACCCUGGAAUGCCAGUGGAAACUGUCGGGCUGGAGUCCGGAAGAGGCGAGUGGAAUUCCUGGUGUAGCGGUGAAAUGCGCAGAUAUCAGGAGGAACACCGGUGGCGAAGGCGGGACUCUGGGCCGAUACUGACGCUGAGGAGCGAAAGCGUGGGGAGCAAACAGG